GUGCCAGCAGCCGCGGUAAUACGGAAGGUCCGGGCGUUAUCCGGAUUUAUUGGGUUUAAAGGGAGCGCAGGCCGAAGAUUAAGCGUGACGUGAAAUGCCGCGGCUCAACCGUGGAAGUGCGUCGCGAACUGGUUUUCUUGAGUGUGCACGAGGAAGGCGGAAUUCGUGGUGUAGCGGUGAAAUGCUUAGAUAUCACGAAGAACUCCGAUUGCGAAGGCAGCCUUCCAGGGCAUUACUGACGCUAAAGCUCGAAGGUGCGGGUAUCGAACAGGAUUAGAUACCCUGGUAGUCCGCACGGUAAACGAUGGAUGCCCGCUGUUUGCGAUAUACAGUAAGCGGCCAAGCGAAAGCGUUAAGCAUCCCACCUGGGGAGUACGCCGGCAACGGUGAAACUCAAAGGAAUUGACGGGGGCCCGCACAAGCGGAGGAACAUGUGGUUUAAUUCGAUGAUACGCGAGGAACCUUACCCGGGCUUGAACUGCAGCAGACGGAUCUAGAGAUAGUGACUCCCUUCGGGGCUGCUGUGGAGGUGCUGCAUGGUUGUCGUCAGCUCGUGCCGUGAGGUGUCGGCUUAAGUGCCAUAACGAGCGCAACCCUUGCUGUCAGUUGCCAUCAGGUAGAGCUGGGCACUCUGGCAGGACUGCCACCGUAAGGUGUGAGGAAGGUGGGGAUGACGUCAAAUCAGCACGGCCCUUACGUCCGGGGCUACACACGUGUUACAAUGGGUGGUACAGAGAGUCGGUGCAUGGCAAUAUGCAUCUAAUCAAGAAAGCCAUCCUCAGUUCGGAUUGGGGUCUGCAACCCGACCCCAUGAAGCUGGAUUCGCUAGUAAUCGCGCAUCAGCCAUGGCGCGGUGAAUACGUUCCCGGGCCUUGUACACACCGCCCGU
rnacentral:rRNA from 1 species